GGAUGAACGCUGGCGGCGUGCCUAAUACAUGCAAGUCGAGCGAACAGACGAGGAGCUUGCUCCUCUGACGUUAGCGGCGGACGGGUGAGUAACACGUGGAUAACCUACCUAUAAGACUGGGAUAACUUCGGGAAACCGGAGCUAAUACCGGAUAAUAUAUUGAACCGCAUGGUUCAAUAGUGAAAGACGGUUUUGCUGUCACUUAUAGAUGGAUCCGCGCCGCAUUAGCUAGUUGGUAAGGUAACGGCUUACCAAGGCAACGAUGCGUAGCCGACCUGAGAGGGUGAUCGGCCACACUGGAACUGAGUCACGGUCCAGACUCCUACGGGAGGCAGCAGUAGGGAAUCUUCCGCAAUGGGCGAAAGCUUGACGGAGCAACGCCGCGUGAGUGAUGAAGGUCUUCGGAUCGUAAAACUCUGUUAUUAGGGAAGAACAAAUGUGUAAGUAACUAUGCACGUCUUGACGGUACCUAAUCAGAAAGCCACGGCUAACUACGU
rnacentral:rRNA from 1 species